CCUCCAGUCAACAUCACCUCAUAAGAUUGUCUGCUGCAGUUGUUAGAGAAAUGUCCAGUUUGCUGCCGAACAUGCAGCAUAGAGAAGACCAGCAAGGGGGCCUUCAUCAGCUUCAUGUAGACAUGCCCUUGCUGUUAGCAUUCCUAUGAAUGGAAGAGUCAGCCACAUGUUGGCAAGUAUCCGGCCAGCAACCACCACCUGUCAGCGGCAACAGCUUUCACAGGCUCAUCAUUUGUACAAAUACAGAAGUAUCUUUGAUGAGGGGCCAGGAGUUGAUCUACGCUGCUAUGCCCAUCAAUGGGGCUCUGGCAAAGACUUCACCUCUUGCCUGCUCACUAACAGUCGUCGAUGGGGAACAGAAUUAGAAACAUGUAUGGAGCCAACACAUGGAGACUUGCAAGAUGA